AGGUGCAGCCUCAGUAGCUGUUGAAGGCCCCAGACUGAAGGAGUCAUGAAGAGAAGCUGAGGCUUGGCAUCAUGAAGAGAUCCUAGGACAGUCUAUGGGUAAAAGUUCAGCCCAGUUGCAGCCCAAGAUCCCAGCAUUUUGGAGAUGCCAGUACCAUGGUUUGACUACCAAGAGCAGCAGCAGCAACCAUAGAAUGGAGCCUAUCUAAGCUUAGAAGACAAGCUGUGAGCACUACAUAGGAGCUAGAGAAGUGGCCCAAGCCCCUUGUCGGAGGCCAGAAGAUGGUCAGUGAAUCCCAGCCCUAGAGCCAUUGAUGGCUUUGAAGAUGGGAGGCAAUGUGCCAAGAAUAUGCAGUGUCUGAACUGAGAAAGGCAAUGAGGAGAUUCUCCUCUAGCAUCUCCAGGAAAAAGGCAGUGUGGCUGCCAACUUGGUGGCGCCACCUCUGCUUGUAAACUCUAAUCCAGAGCUUUCUUUCUCCUCGUGGUCUACACUGUGGAACCAAAGCUGUGCUCAGCAGAAGUGACUUCGCCGGGAGUGUCUGAAGCCAAUAUCCUUGCAAUGUUCCAUGACGGCAGUUGGCCAUCUGCGACACGCUCUCUAGGGUCAGCUAGGUUCCACGGGCCUUGACUGCAAGAUGAAAACUCUUCCCAGACUGUGACAGUUCUCCCUGCUCUGUGUUUCUGUUUUCAUCCUUUUUCCUUGACUCCAUAUUCACCACCCCCACAAA